rnacentral:rRNA from 1 species
UAGCUAGUUGGUGGGGUAAGGGCCUACCAAGGCGACGAUCGGUAGCUGGUCUGAGAGGAUGACCAGCCACACUGGAACUGAGACACGGUCCAGACUCCUACGGGAGGCAGCAGUGGGGAAUAUUGGACAAUGGGGGCAACCCUGAUCCAGCAAUGCCGCGUGUGUGAAGAAGGCCUGAGGGUUGUAAAGCACUUUCAGUGGGGAGGAGGGUUGAUAGGUUAAGAGCUAAUUAACUGGACGUUACCCACAGAAGAAGCACCGGCUAACUCCGUGCCAGCAGCCGCGGUAAUACGGAGGGUGCGAGCGUUAAUCGGAAUUACUGGGCGUAAAGGGUGUGUAGGUGGUUGAUUAAGUUAUCUGUGAAAUUCCUGGGCUUAACCUGGGACGGUCAGAUAAUACUGGUUGACUCGAGUAUGGGAGAGGGUAGUGGAAUUUCCGGUGUAGCGGUGAAAUGCGUAGAGAUCGGAAGGAACACCAGUGGCGAAGGCGGCUACCUGGCCUAAUACUGACACUGAGGCACGAAAGCGUGGGGAGCAAACAGGAUUAGAUACCCUGGUAGUCCACGCUGUAAACGAUGUCAACUAGCUGUUGGUUAUAUGAAAAUAAUUAGUGGCGC